GUGCAAACUCGAUCAUUAACUGCAUAUUGUUGGAGAAGUGAGGAGAACUAGGUUUGCUAAAAUAAUUGAUGUGAUAGAAAAGUAUCAGCCUCAGAAACUAAUGGAAUCCUUUAUAUCCUCAUGUAGUG